ACCAGUGUGGCGUAGUGGUAAGGAGCAGGGCUCGUAACUGAAAGGUCGCUGGUGCAAUUCCUGCUGGGGCACUGGUG